UACGAAGGGGGCUAGCGUUGUUCGGAAUCACUGGGCGUAAAGGGCGCGUAGGCGGCUUUGUAAGUCGGGGGUGAAAGCCUGUGGCUCAACCACAGAAUUGCCUUCGAUACUGCAUGGCUUGAGACCGGAAGAGGUUAGUGGAACUGCGAGUGUAGAGGUGAAAUUCGUAGAUAUUCGCAAGAACACCAGUGGCGAAGGCGGCUGACUGGUCCGGAUCUGACGCGUGAGGCGGCGAAAAGCGUGGGGGAGCAAACAGG
rnacentral:rRNA from 1 species